rnacentral:rRNA from 1 species
GACGAACGCUGGCGGCGUGCUUAACACAUGCAAGUCGUACGGUAAGGCCCUUUCGGGGGUACACGAGUGGCGAACGGGUGAGUAACACGUGAGUAACCUGCCCACAACUUUGGGAUAACGCUAGGAAACUGGUGCUAAUACUGGAUAUGUGCUCCUGCUGCAUGGUGGGGGUUGGAAAGCUCCGGCGGUUGUGGAUGGACUCGCGGCCUAUCAGCUUGUUGGUGGGGUAGUGGCCUACCAAGGCGGCGACGGGUAGCCGGCCUGAGAGGGUGACCGGCCACAUUGGGACUGAGAUACGGCCCGGACUCCUACGGGAGGCAGCAGUGGGGAAUAUUGCACAAUGGGCGCAAGCCUGAUGCAGCAACGCCGCGUGCGGGAUGACGGCCUUCGGGUUGUAAACCGCUUUCAGCAGGGACGAAGCUUUUUGUGACGGUACCUGCAGAAGAAGCACCGGCUAACUACGUG